rnacentral:lncRNA from 12 species
UAUAAUGCAUAUAAGGUCGUAUAAUAACGCUUUUACUAGUCAACAUUUUCUGAUAUAAACAGCCUGUAGCAGGUUUGUGAUGCGAUGUAUGAUUUGAAUUCAAACAGUCGUGAUGCAGUUUGAAGAUUUAACCAUGUCCUUAAAAGUAAAGGUUUAGUUAGUUAACUCUCUGGUUAAUGAUUCAUCGCUGAGGUAAUCUCCACAAAUUAGCCGUUUUAACGAAACAUAUUUCACAUGCGAGGUUUAUAAUGACAUUUUCUUAAUUUUAUUUUAUUGUACGGGGUGUCUGAUUUAAUUUGACUACUCUUACUAAAAUAUAUAGGUCUUUUUUUUUUAAUUAACGUUACUCAAUUCUUGUAAAGAUUUCAUCAGCGCGCGUUAAUCUCCAGUCGCGCGUGCGCAGUGAGGGGAGUGCGACAAUAACGGUCGAUUUCUGAGGCGAGUAUUAAACCGUCAAUAUGACAACGACUUCUGUUGUUUAAACUUAUCCAUAACAUGACUACUAAUACUGAGAUUAAGACAAAAAGACUAAAUUAGCGUGUUAAGAAUUGACAUGACUCGAAGUUGUUAUAUGGUCUGAAUUAAGAAAACAAAACAUAACAACUGAGUUUCAUGUUUCACAUCUAUCGCACUCGCUUUAGUUAUUAACUCUUCAAGUGAAAACUAAACCUAAAGGUUUCCAAAUUAAUCUUUCUGCUGGUGUUUAUCGAGGUAAGUUAAGUCUUCGCCGCCAUUAUAUCUUAAACUAAUUAAAUGUGAGAUUAAAGUAUUAAACUUUGUUAAAUGACUUUUGACAUCUCAAAAUAUCAUGUGUUUAACUCAUACCUUUUUUAGAAUUGUAGUUUAUUUUAUUGAAUGAGCUGCUGGUGUGUUUGUGGUGUGUUCAGGUGAAUGGCGGCUCCAGUAGAUCCUCAGACGCCUGCAGCGUGAGUCCAUCAGUACAUCAACAUUACCGUGAGUUUAUCAGCACAGUCACACAUUAAACGAGCGUGUGUUCGUACGCAGAUCAGGGCAGAAGAAGGGUCACGUGAGGUUUGUGGAAGUUUCUCCUCUCCGUGAAGAUCAGAAGGGGGCGGCGGAGGAGGGCGGUCAUCUGUCCGUCUGGUCGGCCGGUCUGUUCAUCAGUAAGUGGAGGUCAGCGCAGCGCAGAGGAGUCCGAGCCCGGCUCUACACGGACGACCCCGAGUACAGACGUGUGCUGAGAGAGCAGGAGCUCCAGCUGAGAUCCACCGUGCCGCUGCCGCUGGGCUCCGCCAUGGAAAAGGAGACGCUGCGCAUUCUGCUGGACGUGGAGAAAUCUUACAGACGUAACCUGGGUCCACAGCACGCUCUCACCGCAGACGCUCAGACACGAAUCCAGACGCUCAGAGACAGAAUAUCUGCUAGAAGUGUGAGCGAGGAGCAGCAGACGAGCGUCCUGAACCCCUGGAGCCGCUGGAAGAGCUCCGCGAGACACACAGAGACACAGAACAGCCCUCAAACAGUCACCUACAGACCACCUCAGACCCCAGAGGAAGCAGAUAACACCAGCGUUUGAUGACACAUUAAAACCUGAAGAGUUACUUCAAGUCAGUGUGUUUUACAGAGCCUUUCCAGUCACACACACAAAUACAGGCAUAAGAGACGGAAGCUCGUUUCUGCCACACAGUGAGAGAUAUGAAAAGCUAACAGUGACUUGUUCCUAAAAUUUCAGGAAAAGUAACUGCGAUCUCUUUUUUUCUUAGAUUUCUGAAUUUACAUCUCACAAUUAUUUUUAGUUUCCACCACAGAAAAAAAUUAUAUAAUAAUACAUUUUUUUAAAUGUAAUUGCAACUAUCACAGAAUUUUUUCCUCCCAAUUGCACGUUUACAUCUCACAAACCAAACUUUUUUCUCUGAAUUAUGUUUACAUUCGCAAUUUCGUUUGAGAAACGUCAGAAUUGUAUAGUUAUAAACUCAUAAUUACAAGUUUGUAUCUCGCAGUUUUUACUUUUUUCUCCUAUUUCUUUAUUUCACAAUAUUUUGUCUUGUUUUGUUUCCAACAUGGAAUAAAAAAUUAAAAAUGUAAAUAAAAAAUCUCAAAAUUAACAUCUCACAAUUUUGAAUGCGUGUUUGUAUCUUGCAACUCUGAGGAAAAAAUCUGAAUUGUGGGACAAAAAGUUGAAAUUUAAAAAAAAAAGAUUAUCCCAUGGCUUAAACACACUUCCAUAAUAAAGCACUGAGAGUAAAGAACCGUAUGGAUAUAAAACUGUCCAGAAUGAUUUAUUAUCAAAAGUCCAAAAAUGACCCGUCUGGAGUGUGUCAGAAGACUGAAGCAGCACAUCGUGUGAUAAAACUCAACGGUGGCACUGACGUUUGCAUUUUUACGCAGUGAAAGCGUAAAUUGUGCAGAUGUGAUUCAGAUGAAUGGUUAGCAUGUUUUUUGCGUGACGCGUUAAAGAGCUGUACAACACUGUGAACAAAGGUUUAAUUUCACAUUUACAUCAUUGCUAAUCUAUAAAAUACAAAGGGUUCCGCUCAAAAGGUUUUAAACAUCAGUCUUUUUAAAAGUUCGUAAAAAAAAAUCCCCAAAAUUUACAAAAGAAGCGAGUAUCAAAAGUGUUGCUCUCCUCCAACGGUAUGAAAUAAAAGGCCCUGCUGGUGGAGAAGGCAUCGUGAACACGAGUGAAAGGCUUGAAUCAGGAGUCGGUUCCUUCUCGUGGUUCGUCCAGUGAUUCGUUCCUUCAUUUAUCGCUCGUACAGCAGCAGCAGCAGCUCAGUCCAGCAGUAGUUCAGCUUCAUGGAGGAAGUUCCCUGAUACUUCUUUACCCAUUUACAAAAUGUGGUUUCGAUGCGACGAGAGGACGAAAGAAAUUAAAAAGUGCUUCACUUCAAGUAUGUAAACAAAAAUGUAAAAAAUGACAGAUUCUCGUCAGCGUUUGGCACAUCAGAUCAACUGUAGGAAAAAUGACAGAAACAGGACGAUUGUUCUUCUUGUCACUCAUCAGCAUCUGCAAAGAAAAACACAUCUGUCGAUAUCUGAUUCGUGGACACUUGAAAAUUUUCAGCGCAAAAUGUUAUUUUGUACAAUUUUACGUUAUAUUAUUAUCCAGCUCUAUAUAUAAACUUGGAUAUACAGCAAAAUGUCAAGUAUAACAUCGCACAGCUCUGUUUAUUAAAUUGGAUAUAUGGUAUAUACUGAAAAACAACUAUUAUCUCAGUUCUUUCAUAUAAAGUUGUAUAUGUAGUAUCGUUGACUAUAUAAAGCAAAAUGUAAACAAUUUUAUUGCACAUCACUAUAUAUGAAGUUGGAUAUAUAGUUGCAUAUAAAGGAAAAUGUAAACUUUUAUCACACAGCACUAUGUAUAAAGUUAGACAUAUAGUAUAGUUCGAUAUAUAGCUAAAUGUAAAGUAUUAUCGCACAGUUCCAUGAAGUUGGAUAUAUAGUAGAGUUGGAUAUACAGCAAAAUGUAAAGAUUAUCGCACAGUUCUAUAAAGUUGGAUAUACAGUAGAGUUGGAUAUACAGCAAAAUGUAAAGUAUUAUCGCACAGUUCUAUAAAGUUGGAUAUACAGUAGAGUUGGAUAUAUAGCAAAAUGUAAAGAUUAUCGUACAGUUCUAUGAAAUUGUAUAUACACUGGCGUU